rnacentral:tRNA from 1 species
CAUUCAUUAGAURUAAGAUGAAGUCUUGCAGUCCUUA